rnacentral:tRNA from 1 species
UGCGGGGUAGAGCAGUAGGUAGCUCGCAAGGCUCAUAACCUUGAGGUCGUCCGUUCGAGUCGGGCCCCCGCUACUA